rnacentral:rRNA from 1 species
AGAGUUUGAUCCUGGCUCAGAACGAACGCUGGCGGCGUGCCUAACACAUGCAAGUCGAACGGAGAUAAGGGGCUUGCUCCUUAUUUUAGUGGCGCACGGGUGAGUAACGCGUGGAUAAUCUACCUUGGAAUCUGGGAUAACAUUUCGAAAGGGGUGCUAAUACCGGAUAAGACCACGAGCUCUUUGGAGUUUGCGGUAAAAGGGGGCCUCUGUAUAUGCUUCUGUUUCAAGAUGAGUCCGCGUACCAUUAGCUAGUUGGCAGGGUAAUGGCCUACCAAGGCGACGAUGGUUAGCUGGUCUGAGAGGAUGAUCAGCCACACUGGAACUGAGACACGGUCCAGACUCCUACGGGAGGCAGCAGUGGGGAAUUUUGCGCAAUGGGGGAAACCCUGACGCAGGAACGCCGCGUGAGUGAUGAAGGCCUUCGGGU